GAUGAACGCUGGCGGCGUGCCUAAUACAUGCAAGUCGAGCGAACGGACGAGAAGCUUGCUUCUCUGAUGUUAGCGGCGGACGGGUGAGUAACACGUGGAUAACCUACCUAUAAGACUGGGAUAACUUCGGGAGACCGUAGCUAAUACCGGAUAAUAUUUUGAACCGCAUGGUUCAAAAGUGAAAGACGGUCUUGCUGUCACUUAUAGAUGGAUCCGCGCUGCAUUAGCUAGUUGGUAAGGUAACGGCAUACCAAGGCAACGAUGCAUAGCCGACCUGAGAGGGUGAUCGGCCACACUGGAACUGAGACACGGUCCAGACUCCUACGGGAGGCAGCAGUAGGGAAUCUUCCGCAAUGGGCGAAAGCCUGACGGAGCAACGCCGCGUGAGUGAUGAAGGUCUUCGGAUCGUAAAACUCUGUUAUUAGGGAAGAACAUAUGUGUAAGUAACUGUGCACAUCUUGACGGUACCUAAUCAGAAAGCCACGGCUAACUACGUG
rnacentral:rRNA from 1 species